UGAGUAAGUCGGAUAGUCGCAGAUGCCUUUAUAGGCAGACGAGGAAAGUCCGAGCUCCGUAGAGCAGGGUGCUGGGUAAUACCCAGUGGAGGCGACUCUAAGGAUAGUGCAACAGAAAUAAACCGCCACAAUUAAUUGUGGUAAGGAUGGAAAGGUGAGGUAAGAGCUCACCAGCAGCUAGGUGACUAGUUGGCUAUGUAAACCCCACCUGGAGCAAGACCAAGUAGGGACAUGAAAAGAGGGCUGCUCGCUCUCGUCCCGUUGGUAGGUCGCUUGAGUCUACUGGCAACAGUAGGCCUAGAUAGAUGACUAUUUAACACAAAACUCGGCUUAUAGAUUUACUCAUUAU
rnacentral:RNase_P_RNA from 1 species